GACGAACCGAGCGAACGUUGUUCGGAAUCACUGGGCUUAAAGGGUGCGUAGGCGGGCUGCCAAGUUUGGGGUGAAAUCCUCCGGCUCAACCGGGGAAGUGCCUUGAAUACCGGCGGUCUCGAGGGAGGUAGGGGCGUGCGGAACUAACGGUGGAGCGGUGAAAUGCGUUGAUAUCGUUAGGAACUCCGGUGGCGAAGGCGGCACGCUAGACCUCUUCUGACGCUGAGGCACGAAAGCCAGGGGAGCGAACGGG
rnacentral:rRNA from 1 species